CCAAAAAAGGUGGUGGUUUGAUAGGCGUUAACCCUGUGGGUACGGUGAGUGCGGCGUACACCGGCCUGUUAUCCCUCCACCGUCAAGAGCGGGAGGUGGUCGCUGCUCUGUGAAGCCAGCCUGACGCGGUGUCCUCCGCUUUAGGAUCCUAAGAAGCUCGAGCCUUCGCCCGGGCCGCACGGCUCAGCUGCCUGACUUGGAACGGACAAGCCGAGUAUAGUACGGUCGCACCCAACCCAGUCGAGUUAAACACACCAUCCCACCGCCUCAAGGCUCCCGCUCGGGUUACAAGCCCACGCUACCGGGCUCGGCGAUCGAGGCGCUUUCGCAGCAGAAUAUAACGUCUUUGAUUCUUUUAGAAUUGGCGAUGUGGGACUAAGAAUUGUGCCAACCCGCCACCGAUUCAUCCACCAGCAAAAUGCUUUGGAGGAUAACACAAACUGCAAGUGCCCCAAGAGAAUUGGAUUGCGCACGAACAGCUUCUUUCUACUCCAACGCCCCGAAUGAUGCAUUCAUGGCCAAACUGUGUUGUUCAUGGAUGCAGAUCGAAAAGCGCUAAGUAAUCCCCAAAGGUAAGAAUACGUUUGAUUGUCUUACGAUACAACCUUACCCUAUUAGAAAUUUAAUCUCAUAAUCUAAUAAUACUAAAAGAACAAAAAAGAGAAUCCAAUUACAGAGAAAAGGAAUGAUAAAAAAGUGGGGUCUGAUCGAUGUUAGCUUGCCGAGCAUGGUAAGGUGUGGCUUCGACCAGUCUGCCAUCCCUUCCACUGUCGAGAGCGGGAGGUACUCGUUUCUUUGUUAGGAUGCGUAUGACUCGAGUCUUCGCCUGGAGUCACAUUGCUCAAUUUCUUGACUCAAAAUGGGCAAGUCGGGGUUGGGUGGGUCAAACCUAACCCAAUCAAGCACAACACAUCAUUCCACCUCCUUCAUGCCCUCACUCAUGUGACAAGCCUGUGCUACGAGGCUCGACAAUUACAAGUAUUUCACAGAGUAAUAUAAAGGCAUAAAAAUAGGUAAAAACUAGCAAUGUGGGACGAAGAAUAGUGCGACCACUUUCCCCUCCUCCCUUUGCAGAGAGAUUCACGAACCAAAUGCUUUCGAGAGGGAACAUAGGCUUGGAUGGUGUAUUUGUCCACCUGUUUUUAUUUUGGAGAAAGAAUUCAACUGCAUUGUAAACGUAAAACUCCUUCCUACUCCCCUCCUCAAUGAUAUAUAAAUAUUUAGAAAAAAACUUUAGUUUUCAAAAAUUCUCCAUCUCAACUUUUAAAAAUAUAAACAAAGUACCUAUUUCGUGCAUUAAAACAUCGUUUUAUCUCUACUUUUGUCGGAUCCAUUAUUACCUCAACCCUAUAUCAAUGCUCUAACUCUUUUCCCCUUUGCUAAGAACAACAAUAGAGUAGGGGGUCACGAAUCCUUGGUACUUUGUGUCUUCACACACGAGUUGACUUACGCACUUAGCCAUGCUUUUAUCUUGAACAGUCAUCCAUUACCCACAGCAUUGUUGAUCGCCUUCAUGAGUGGGCCCAGCCAAACUCUUUCCCCGCCUAUGAUCGAUGACGAGGGGUGCUUAUGGGCGAUUGCGAGGGUACACAGUAUGCCUCCCCUCCUUCCUCACCCACGAACAAUGAUGAGUGAAGGCAUAGGGGUCGUGGCCCUUGGUUCUUCAUUUGCAAUCGAUAACGAUAGAGUUCAAAUAUAUAUUGUAUAGCUUAAUAUUUUCAAAGUUACGAUCGCCUAAUAUUUUUUAAGAAUAUACAUAUUUAGAAUUUUUUUAAAUCUAAGAUCUAUAUAAUAUUUAUUUAUUUUUAAUUAGUUUAGUCCUUCUAUUCAAAGAUACGAACUUGAAUAAUCGAUGAUAAAAUAAGACAUAAUAUCAUGAAAAAUAAAAAAAUAUUUUUUUAGAAAAAUUAGAAAACCAUAUUAAUUAGUAAAAGCUGAAAAAAAAUAUUAGCAUCACCAUGGGCUAAGGAGUUACAAAUCCUAUGAAAAAUCAAUUUAAACUAAGCUAUGUUGAAAUUGCAUAGUUGAUCCUUUCUAAUCCCACGUCAUUGGGUUUUAGAGGAUAAUGUGAUGGGACAUACCAUGGUACUUCAGCAAAGCGGAGCUUUCUUUCUAUCAUUUAAUAGUCCUAUGCGUUGUAUCUUACUAUUAUUUUUAAUGCGAAAAAGUGGUGGUUUGGUCAGUGUAAGCCCGAUGGGUAUGGUGGGGGCGGCGUGCAUCGGCCUGUUAUGCUUCCACCGUCAAGAGAGGGAGGUUAUCGCUGCUCUGUGAAGCCAGCCUGACGCGGUGUCCUCCGCUUUAGAAUCGCAUGUGACUCAGGCCUACGCCAGGACCGCACUGCGAAGCUGCCUGACUUGGAACGGGCAAGCCAAGUCUGGAAAUCACCGGACCCAACCCAAUAGAGCUGAACACAACAUCCCACCACAUCCUUGCCCCCACUCGGGUUACAAGCCUGCGUUACUGGGCUCGGCGAUCGAGGGCCUUCCGCAGCCUCAUAUAACUUUUUGCGAGACUCUAAAUAUUGGCGAUGUGGGACUAAGAGCACUUCCUCCGCUCCCUCCUUUCCCUUUCCGAAAAUUCAUGCACCGCGUGCUUUCUGAGAGAACCCGAAUUGCACCCAAACUUUCGAUCAUGGUUCUUACCACCUUUUCAUCACCUAAAACUAUUUCAUCGGCAAAGAGGCCAUUUGAAUAAGGUCACUAUUCAAAAGCUUAAGAAUAAGGUUACUAUUUAAAUGCUCGAGUUUUUAGAAAAUAAUAAAGUAGAAGAUAUCAAUAGAAUUGUGUUAAUCAUCACCUCUUUACUCUAACGUUUAUCAUCUUUAUAAAAAUUAUCAAAAGAUAAAAGGUGCUUCAUCUCCUUCUCUUUGAAGUUUAUUUUUAGGUUGCCCUUCGUCCUUGUACAUUUUUCAAUGAUAAAUCAUAUAUAAGAUUUAUGACCCAAUGAGCUAUCUCCUUUCAAGAUGAGUCUAUCAAUAUUAAUAUCAAUUUGUCUCUCUGUGACUCCUGAGGUCGAGGUAAGUGUUCUUGGUGCUUAAGGAUGAAUCGCGCAAGAUAAAUCUGAUGUAUGAAUUCUUCAAUAUCCUUUUUCAAGUCUCGAUAUUCAUUUGUGUCAUGGACGUAAUUCAGAUAGAACCGAUAAUAUUUAGAUCCGUCUUUUUUUGCCAAUGAAGUAUUCAUCGAGUGAGAGUCUUUUAAGAGUCUCUUUCCUUUUAUCGGUAGAAAAAAACUUUAAUUCUAAGCAUAUUCAAGGGGGUUAGCUCAGACCUUGGGCGAGGUAACUCAAGUCGUUCGUUCUUCCUCUAUUGUGAUGACCUCGGGGUCGGGGUGGACUAUAGUUGCUCUUACUUCGACCUCUUGUGCGGCUGACUCUUUACGCUUACCAGAUAUUAUUAUCCUGAUGGUAAUAUAUUGAUUGACUCUUUGAAGUGCCUGUAGUAUUGUCGCCGAUGACCUCUCCACUAACGACGAGAAGAGAUGAGAGGACUUGAGACUCAUCAUGAAGGUUUGUAUCAAGAGUGACGAACGGAUAUACCACGCUUUGGAUUUUAUUAAUGAAACUAAGUGAUGAAGUUUGUAAGAAUUUCCUUCAAUUGCAUGAAUACGAGAAGCAUUGACAUUGCUAGCCUCGGGUGCACAUUCCCGAUGAAGUGAAAUUCAAACUUCCUCGUGAACUAGGUAAUGAAACUGAUGGAGAGUGGCUUCAGAUAUAAGUAUCAUUCUCGUGUUAGGUCUCUUAAUAUAGUCGAGAAUGUGUGACACAUCAAGGCAUCCGAAGUGUCAUACAAUAAUAUUUAGGCAUGGAAAGUUAUAAUGUGCUCCAUUGGGUUAGCAUUGCCAUCGAAUGCCUCCAACGACGGUGGUGGAAGAUUGUUAGAAUCGAUUCUUCCUAAAUUUUCUAGAUAAAUGAUGACCGACUCGAGGUGGAGUUAACCAAUGCUUCCCUUUUGGAUUAUUAAAAUUUUUAUCAUAUCUCCUUCAAACGAUGAUCCAUCUAUCAUAGUUGGAUUUGCAAGGAAUCCUUCAUCAAAUUCGUCGAUCUAGUCUCUGAUUUAAGCAUGAUAGAAUCGUGAUAUGGAAUGCUAAAUUUCAUGAUUAUGGAGCGAAGUGCUCUCUCGGCCAUGAUUCGAUAGGUUUUGGGUACUUUUAGGAUGUAACACUAUGUUGGAUGGGGGAAAGUUGAUGGGUGCUAGUGGUGGGUGAGCCAGUGACAACAACUGAGUUAGUGGCGUUGUCUAUUAAGCUAACUAGGGUAAAUGUUAGAGAUUUUAAUAUAUAAAAGAAGUUUUAUAUUUUAAUAUAUAGAAUAUGCAUACUUGCAAGGCAUCUUAUGUUUGUCAAUUGUUGUCACCCCUUUUUUCUUAUUUAAGAUCCCUUCUGAUUUUUUUAAUCAUAAUUAUAUUUUUACUGUUUUUUAAUAUUUAAUUCCUUCCAUCGAAAGAAAUGAACUUGAAUAACGAGAUGAUAUAAUAAAAGACACAAUAUCAACAAAAAUUUCUCAAGACCUACAUAAAGAAAAAACAAUUCUUUGUAAAAAGAGAAAAAGCUAUAUUAAUUAGCAAAAACUAAAAAAAAACGAAGAGCCGUUAGUAGCCUCCGAGGAAGAACAAAAAGUGGGUCAGCCUAUAAAAGUUGGCGUUGCCAUGGGGCUAAGGAGUUACAAAACCUAUCAACAACCAAUCCAAACAAACCAUGCAAAUCAACAACUAUACAAAGAUGAAUGAUGAUCUUAUUAAAUAUUAAACUUAAUAUUUAUGAAGCAAAAUGAAUGUGCUUGUCACAAUAAAAUCAUAAGAGUUCACGAGUGCUUAAGUUUUUUUUACGGCUAGAAUAAUGGAAUAGAUAAAACUUUGGUCGAGCUUACGAACAUAAAAAACGAAAAAAAAAUUAAAAUUUUGGUUAUGUAAAAGCUCAAUAAGAGUUCAAAAUUGGUUAAACUAAUCAGUGUUGCCCAUUUGUGACUGACAUCCACACGAGAUAGCCGAUUAGUUAUUUUUUAUUACUGGAAUAACGUGCAUCUCGACACUGCACAUUGACAAAGCCGAGCGCAUACCUUCCAUUGUCAAAAUCAACUAUGCUAAUGAUCAUGUUAGUGCGAUGGGUUCACUCUGUCAUUUGCCUACGCAUACAAUAUAUACUUUAGAAAACACAGAUAUAUUGAAAUUGCAUAGUUCGUCGUGAUCCUUUCUAAUCCCACACCAUGGGCCUUUAGCGGAUGAUGAGAUGGGACAUACUUCGGUAUCUCAGUAAAGUCAGAGCUCAUUCCUUAAAGGUUUUAUUAUAUUAAUUAUUGAGAGAUUAUAGAUUUUCUUUUAUUUUUUUUUGUUUUUAAUACAUCGCUCGUAGUAGUCUUAUGAAAGAUAAAAAGAGAAGAGAAUACGACUACAGUAGUAGCGACAACUAUAGCUUCAUCGCUACCACUAUGGUGAUUGUUGUAGCUUGUUGUGAUUGUAGCAUUAUCGUUGCUUAGGGCAACUACAACAAUGUCGUUGCGGCAUUUGUUGGCCAUGGCUGUUGAUAAGUCGCAUGCGAAGAGCUAUGCAACCACGAGCGAUGCAGGCGACGAAUGACCAGUGCACCAUCAACAAGACCUGCAAGUGUGGGCGUAGUGGGAUGCGACGACGACAACAACAUGAGAAUUUGAUUUUUUUUAAAGCACAUUUUUGUACCUCGAAUGCAUCUUGAUAUAAGAAAAUCAUAUCUCCUAAGGGCUCUUCACUGAUUUAAUCACCCGAGGAGAAGCACAAGUAAAAUUCUCCUACAUCAUUAGAAUCCAUGAAGUGAUAUAUAACACGAAUUACGAUCAGACCUAAACAAAAGAGGAAUCUCUCGAGCGACAUAACAAAAAUGAAUCCCAUAUUUGCUCUUUACAAUCAAUCUUUUGGCAUUCACUAAAAGUUAGACUAAUUUAGUUGAUAAAAAUCUUCGUUGUAUUUUUUAAAUAUUAUUAUAAAAAUGAAUCCCAUAUUUGCUCUUUACAAUCAAUCUUUUGGCAUUCACUAAAAGUUAGACUAAUUUAGUUGAUAAAAAUUUUCGUUGUAUUUUCUAAAUAUUAUUAUCAGUGUUGUCCCUCUUGAGAUAAAAAAAAGAAAUCGGUGUGCAAAAAGUGGUGGUCUGGUCAGUGUUAGCCCGAUAGGUACGGCGGGUGUGGCGUGCACCGGCCUGUUAUCCUUCCACCGUCAAGAGCGGGAGGUUAUCGCUGCUCUGUGAAACCAGCCUGACGCGGUGUCCUCCGCUUUAGGAUCCCAGAUAGCUCGGGCCUUCGUUCGAGCCACAUAGCUCAGCUGCCUGACUUGGAACGGGCAAGCCAAGUCUAGCACGACCGCACCCAACCUAUUCGGGCUGAACACAACAUUCCACCACCUUAUUGCCCCCACUAGGGUUACAAGCCGGCGUUACCGGGCUCGGCGAUCGAGGCGCUUCCACAACUUCAUAUAGCCUGUCAGUGAAUCCUAAAAAUUGGCGAUGUGGGACUAAAAACGCUCCCUCCUUUUUCCUUUCCGAACAUUCGUGCACCGCAUGCUUUCCAGGAGAAACCCGAAUUGCAUCUAAAGUUUCGAUCAUGGUUCCCCACCACCUAAAACCAUUCCAUCCCCUUCGAACAGACCAACAGAAGAUGCCCUGCAGACCCCUCCAGAUUACCCGACUCCUAAUCUUGAAACCUCGAAACCCAAUGCUCUCCUGCAUCGGGGAUUCAACAUGUUUCGAGCUAAAUUUCUCCUACAUCAGCUGACCGCAAUGCUGUAACUUUGGUGAUGAUGAAGAGGUGUAAGCUGAUAAAUGCUAUAACAAUGCCCGAAUACGUUGUCGGCCUCGUUGCAGAAGAGGAUCGACUUUUAGAUUGUGAAUCUGUGUCUUUGAACAUAGAUGCGCUAGCAUGUAUAUAAACCAUUACUUCUUAAUUCGAUGACAUUAAUAAAUAUAAUUGAUACGUCAUAUUUUGGCCUCGAAGACAUAUCAGGUCAGAAUCCAUACUAAGGCACUGCUUGACACGUCACAUCUUGGGAACCACAAGACACGCCAAGUCAGAAUCCAUACUAAGGCACUGCUCGGCAUGUCACGCCUCAGGAACCCCGAGACGGCGCCGCCCCCAAGACACGCCAAGUCAGAAUCUGUACUAAGGCACUGCUCGGCACGUCUACCAUGCCAAACCUCGUACGACUGACCCACGUACAAUAAUAUAAAGACCUCUGGCCGGCAUCUGGCUAGGAGGGGAAAAAAGGUGGUAAAAUCAAUUGAUCACUCUACUGACUUGUUCGUCAGAGGGUUCUCGUCGGGAAUCACCCAACGAGGGCCAUUUUUGAAGGAAAAUGCAGCCACCUCACGAAGACGAGCUACCAACCACCCGAGAAUCCCCAUCCAGUGCACGAAGGAGAGCAGCCAAUCGGUCCAUAUCCUAAACAAUGCCAACCAGUACUCCUUCUCGAGGGCUUGACCACCUCACGAAGAUGAGCUGCCAACCACCUCAGAAAAAGAGAGACGUAGCUCGACAUACACGACGCUCGGAUCGGCACACCAAGGAACACUGAUCAACACCCCAUUGCAAGGGCCCGAUAGACCUCGAUAUCCAACUCAACCGAUAGAAGACUCCCGACAUCGACCCGUAGACCAGGCUGUGCUAACUCACAAGCCACAGCACAUUUGUUUACUAACAUUUUGACGCUAGAAGGAGGGCAUGUCGCAAGAGCAACAGAUAGGGGUCCUCCCCGAGGGAGAACCACCGACCGACCUCCCUUUUGUUAAACCAAAAAGUCAGGCCUUCCCCACCCCCGGAGACAGGAGGAUCCCGGCUUCGAUGCUAGAUCGCUACUGUCGUCUGUUCAACGACCCGGGAUUGUCACCCCCGAGGCUCACCAUAGGGCCCUCGGUCGUGACACCCGAGGCAUUCCUUAGCCUAACCAAGCAAGUACAGGCCAUGGCGGGCAUGAUGUAGACGCUCGCUCCAAUCAUUCCUCAGAUCGUGCGGCUAGCGACGCCCCCGACCGACCCGUCCCAACAGCGACCGAACAGGGAGCAGGUCGGGACUGGAGAAGCCCAAGAGCAAGCAACGGACUCGAGAGGUCCGCCCGAGUAGAGCAUACUCGCACCCUGCCGAAUCACACCGCUCCACUCCGAGCCCGACACCAUAUCGUCCGACUCGGUGGAUGACUCGUUCAGGAUCCAGUUGUCUCGGAUCAACCAACGCUUGGAUGAGUUCCAGCGCGAGUUCCAGAAAUCGCGAUGCAAGUCGAAUGAAGGCGGCUCGGGCGAAUCGCCUUUCACUCAGGAAAUACAUGACAAGCCUGUACCACUCGACUUUAGGUUGCCCACAUUAGAGAUGUACGACGGCGGCUCUGACCCCGCAGAGCAUGUCGUCAUGUUUCGGGCUCAGCUAUGGCACCUCCAAUGCAUUGAUGUGUCGGGAAUUCCCGACCACCUUCAGGGGCCAGCACGAGCGUGAUUCAACCGGCUGCGCCAGUCCUCAGUCUCAUCCUUCGACCAGCUCACAAGGGAGUUCGAGCAAAACUUCCUCACCAACGUGCAACCCAAGCCUUCUAUCGCUACACUGCUGGCGUUAUCUCAACACGAGGAUGAGUCGCUCUCUCAGUUCGUGGCACAUUUAGCCACCGAGAUCUAUGAAUUUUCGGACGCUCAUCUCUCUCUAAUAAUGCAGGUGUUUCUGAUGGGCUUGAAACCUUCAAGGUUCUUUUGGUCACUAAUCGAGAAGCCUCCAGUAACCAUCCCCGAGAUGCUCCAAUGCGUCAACCAGUACAUCGCCGCCAAAGCUCUGGUGGUGGGAAAGUGCAUGGACAGCAAGAGGCCAAGGGCGAAACAAUCCCGGGGAACGACUUCCGUAGCCCCAGUGCAACCCCGCUAGAGGCUUGACUGACAAGAGCUACUGCUCCUGAGGCCCCCGCCUCUCCCUCUGAGCAUGUUCCACCAGGACUAUGACCACGGCACGGAAGAUUGCUGUGACCUCCAGAAUCAAAUCGAGGACUUGAUCCGAAAAGGUUAUCUCAAGUGCUAUGUCAAGGAAACCCGAGAAGCAACUCCAUGUCCUAGGGGACCCUUCGAAAGACGCCUCAUCAUCCAAAAUAUCAUGUCGAAAAGCCACUCGCGACAAGAGGUCCACAAGCUCGCCAGAUCGGUUCCCGACCUGCGACUCGCCGACCCAUCUCUUGCCUGAGCCGCUCUAGAUCGGUUCCCGACCUGUGCCUUGCCGGCCCAGCUUUUGCCCAAGUUGCUCCAGAUCAGUUCUCGACCUGCAGCUCGCCAGCCCAGCUCUUGCCCGAGUUGCUCUAUAUCGAUUCCCGACCCGCGGCUCGCCGGCCGAGCAUUUGUCCGAGCCGCUCCAGAUUGGUUCCCGACCUAUGGCUCACCGGCCCAGCUCUCAUUCGAGUCGCCCCAAAUCGGUUCCCGACCUGCAGCUCGCCGGCCCAGCUCUUGCCCGAGCCGCUCCAGAUCGGUUCCCGUCCUGCGGCCCGUUGGCCCAGCUCUUACCCAAGUCGCUCAAGAUUAGUUCUCGACCUCAGGCUCGCCGGCCUAGCUCUUGCCUGAGCCGCUCUAGAUCGAUUCUCGACCUGCGGCUCGCCGGCCUAGCUCUUGCCCAAGCGGCUCCAGAUCGGUUCUCGACCUGUGCCUCGCGGGCUCAGCUUUUGCCCGAGUCACUCCAGAUCGGUUCCCGACCUACGGCUCGUCGGCCCAACUCUCACCCGAGUAGCUCCAGAUCGGUUCUCGACUUGUGGCUCGCCAGCCCAACUCUUGCCCGAGCCACUCCAGAUCGGUUUCCGACCUGCGGCUCGUCGGCCCAACUCUUGCCCGAGUUGCUCUAGAUCGAUUCCCGACUUGCGGCUCUCUAGCCCAGCUCUUGCCCGAGCCAUCCAGAUCGAUUCCUGACCUGCGGGUAGCCAGCCCAGCUCUUGCCCAAGCGCUCUAGAUAAGUUCCUGACCUGUGCCUCGCUGGCCCAGUUCCUGCCCGGGUUGUUCCAGUUUGCUCCUGACUUUCGAUUCGGAGUCGAGCUUACUCACUUGGUCCCCAGAUUCAAUUCGGAGCCGAGCUUACUCACUCGGUCCCCAUAUCCGAUUCGGAGCCAAGCUUACUCACUCGGUCCCUAGGUUCAAUUCGGAGCCGAGUUUACUCACUCGGUCCCUAUGUUCAAUUCGGGGAGCCGAGCUUACUCACUUGGUCCCCAGAUUCAAUUCGGAGCCGAGCUUACUCACUCGGUCCCCAUAUUCGAUUCAAAUUCGAGCUUACUCACUUAGUCCCUAGGUUCAAUUUGGAGCCGAGCUUAGUCACUCGGUCCCUAGAUCCGAUUUAGAGCCGAGCUUACUCACUCGGUCUCCAGAUUCGAUUCGGAGUCGAGCUUACUCACUCGGUCCCCAGAUCCGAUUCAGAGCCGAGCUUACUCACUCAGUCCCCAGGUUCAAUUCGGAGCAGAGCUUAGUCACUCGGUCCCCAAGUUCAAUUCAGAGCUGAGCUUAUUCACUUGAUCCCCAGGUUCAAAUCGGAGAUAAGCUUAUUCACUCGGUCCCUAGGUUUGAUUCGGAGUCGAGCUUACUCACUCGGUCCCCAGGCUUAAUUCGGAGCCGGGCUUACUCACUCGGUCACCAGGUUCAGUUUGGAGCCGAGCUUAGUCACUCAAUCCCCAGGUUCAAUUCAGAGUCGAACUUAUUCACUCGAUCCCCAGGUUCAAAUCAGAGAUGAGCUUAGUCACUCAGUCCUCAGGUUCAUUUCUUGCUCGGGUCGCUCCAGAUCGCUCCCGACUUGCUACCCAUCGACACCGAAACCCGAGCCCGAGCUCGGUCACUCGACCCAUAGGCCCAAUCCAGUGUCCGAGCCACGCAUCUCAGCCAAUCCAACGCCCGAGUCGCAUCUCGGCCAAAUCCAAUGCCCGAGUCGCAUCUCGGCCAAAUCCAGCAUCCGAGCCACGCACCUCGGCCAUCCAACACCCGAGCCACGCAACUCGGCCAAUCUAACGCCCGAGUCGCAUCUUGGCCAAAUCCAAUGCCCGAGUCACAUCUCGGCCAAAUCCAACGUCCAAGCCACACACCUCGGCCAUCCAAAGCUCGAGCCACGCAUCUCGGCCAAUCCAAUGCCCAAGUCGUAUCUCGGCCAAUCCAAUACCCAAGUCGCAUCUCGACCAAAUCCAACGUCCAAGCCAUGCACAUUGCCCAUCCAAUGCCCGAGCCACGCAUCUCGACCGAUCCAACACCCGAGUAGCAUCUUGGCCGGUCCAAACGCCCGAACCACACAUCUUGGCCGAUCCAAUGCCCGAGCCAUACCUUGCGGCCAAUCUUAUGCCCGAGUCACAUCUCGAUCGAUCCAACGCCCGAAUCACCGGCCUAGUCUGUUAAUCCAAGUCGCUCCACGUCAACCCCUGACUAGCUACCCGUCAAGUCUCUAAACCGAGCCACCCCGGCUCGCUCGCCAACUUGCAAACUCGGCAGUUGUAACACCAAGUCGUGCCAAACCCGUUAUCUAACCUACGACACGUCGGUGUCGCCUCGUCGGUUUCGCCACGUCGGUUUCGACACGUUGGUUUUGCCUCGUCAGGCCCCUGCCUCCUGAUCAGUAGAGUCGAUCUUGCACGAAGCAUGGGGCGCUACCCUUCUAAAUCGCCCCAUGACGAGUUAAUCCAACUUCCCCUCAUGAACGAUCAGCCUCACUUCGAAGUAUCAUAUAAUAAUAUUUGGGCAUGGAAAGUUAUAAUGUCCUCCAUUGGGUUAGCAUUGCCAUCGAAUGCCUCCAACGACGAUGGUGGAAGAUUGUUAGAAUCGAUUCUUCCUGAAUUUUCUAGGUGAAUGAUGAUCGACUCGAGGUGGAGUCAACCAACGCUUCCUUUUUGGAUUAUUAAAUUUUUUAUCAUAUCUCCUCUAAAUGUCGGUCCAUCUAUGAUAGUUGGAUUCGCAAGGAAUCCUUCAUCAAUUUCGUCAACCUAGCCUCUGAUUUAAGCAUGAUAGAGUCAUGAUGUGGUAUGUUAAAUUUAUGGUGAUGGAGCGAAGUACUCUCUUGACCAUGAUUGGAUAGGUUUCGGGUACUCUUAGGAUGUCAACAUUAUGUUGGGUGGGGGAACAUUGAUUGGUGGGUGAGCUAUUGGGCUAACUAGCGUAAAUGUUAGAGAUUUUAAUAUAUAGAAUAUGCAUACUUGCAAGGCAUCUCAUGUAUGUCAAUUGUUGCAACCCCUUUUUUUUCUUAUUUAAGAUCCCUUCUGUUUUUUGAAUCAUAAUUAUAUUUUAACUGUUUUUUAAUAUUUAAUUCCUUCCAUCGAAAGAAAUGAACUUGAAUAACGAGAUGAUAUAAUAAAAGACACAAUAUCAACAAAAAUUUCUCAAGACCUACGUAAAGAAAAAAAAAUUCUUUGUAAAAAGAGAAAAAGCUAUAUUAAUUAGCAAAAACUAAAAAAAACGAAGAGCCGUUAGUAGCCUCCGAGGAAGAACAAAAAGUGGGUCAGCCUAUNNNNNNNNNNNNNNNNNNNNUCAACUAUGCUAAUGAUCAUGUUAGUGCGAUGGGUUCACUCUGUCAUUUGCCUACGCAUACAAUAUAUACUUUAGAAAACACAUAUAUAUUGAAAUUGUAUAGUUCGUCGUGAUUCUUUCUAAUCCCACACCAUGUGCCUUUACCGGAUGAUGAGAUGGGACAUUCCUUGGUAUCGCAGUAAAGUCAGAGGUCAUUCGUUAGAGGAUUUAUUAUAUUAAUUAUUGAGAGAUUAUAGAUUUUUUUUUAUCUUUAUUUUUUAUUUUUAAUUCAUUACUCAUAAUAAUCUUAUUAAAGAUAAAAAGAGAAGAGAAUGGGACUACAGUAGUGUUGUUGUGGGCGACAACUAUAGCAACAUCGAUACCACUAGGGUGAUUGUUGUAGCUUGUUGCGAUCGUAGCAUUACCGUUGCUUAGGGCAACUACAGCAAUGUCAUUGCGGUAUUUGUUGGCCACGGUCGAUGUCAACUAGACGUAAAAGACCAUGAUACUCAGCGGUUGCAUGACAAACUCGUAAGUAUUAGUGGGUGCCACAAUGACUAUGUGGUUGCUAGUUGAUACAAAAUCACGUAUGGCUGCGAUGACGAUGAGGUCGUUGAUUAGUCACAUGCGAAGAGCUAUGCACCGGUAACGAAUGACUAGUGCUCCAAGUGUGGGCAUAGUGGGAUGCGAUGACAACAUGAGAAUUUUUUUUUUUUUUAAGUAUAUUUUUAUCUUGAUAUAAGAAAAUUAUAUCUCCUAAGGGCUCUUCACUGAUUUAAUCACCUGAGGAGAAGCGCAAGUAAAAUUCUCCAGCAUCAUUAGAAUCCAUGAAGUAAUAACGAAUUACGGUCAGACCUAAACAAAAGAGGAAUCUCUGUGGCGUGCACCGGUGUGCAAAAAGUGGUGGUCUGGUCAGUGUUAGCCCGAUAGGUACGGCGGGUGUGGCGUGCACCGGCCUGUUAUCCUUCCACCGUCAAGAGCGGGAGGUUAUCGCUGCUCUGUGAAACCAGCCUGACGCGGUGUCCUCCGCUUUAGGAUCCCAGAUGGCUCGGGCCUUCGUUCGGGCCACAUAGCUCAGCUGCCUGACUUGGAACGGGCAAGCCAAGUCUAGCACGACCGCACCCAACCUAUUCGGGCUGAACACAACAUCCCACCACCUUAUUGCCCCCACUCGGGUUACAAGCCGGCGUUACCGGGCUCGGCG
rnacentral:lncRNA from 1 species